CCAGCAUAUUUUCUCUGUCAGCUGUUGGGGUGUUUCUUCAACAGACAGCUCUAAUCCGUUAUCCAAGAGUCCACGGAAGCCUGCCUCACCCCAUCAGCUCCUGGCAGGCUGCGACUCCCCAAGCCACCUUGGCGUUUACAUCUCUUGUAUCUGAGCUGGCCAGGAAGAACCACCACAGCGAUGCCAACCUAAAUGGUGAUUUUAACAAUAUAGGGUCAGGAAUACAUGUUUGUGUUCCUGACCCUAUAGUGUUCCUUUAAUACUUGUGGAUUUCAAACUUAAAUUUCAUUUACACCUCUCAUGUACAUGUUUGUUAAAUAUAGACGAUAUAUAACUAUAAUAUUCAAAAUCAAAGAAAGGAACAAGUGCUUAAUUUUCUGUACACUGUGAACUAUUUGUGGAAAUGCAAUGUUCUACUUUCUUUGCUAUAAUUGUGUAUAAUGCUACAGUAAUUAAUUGAGUAAAUCUUUCAAUUUCAGUGUAGAAUCCUUAAGAAACAGAUUGUUAUAAUGACAUACACCAACAUUGGUUCUUUAGGGGUUAUUAGUUUCAAUAGUAU